ACGGGUGAGUAAUGCGUAGGAAUCUGCCUGGUAGUGGGGGAUAACGCUCGGAAACGGACGCUAAUACCGCAUACGUCCUACUGGAGAAAGCAGGGGACCUUUGGGCCUUGCGCUAUCAGAUGAGCCUAGGUCGGAUUAGCUAGUUGGUGAGGUAAUGGCUCACCAAGGCGACGAUCCGUAACUGGUCUGAGAGGAUGAUCAGUCACACUGGAACUGAGACACGGUCCAGACUCCUACGGGAGGCAGCAGUGGGGAAUAUUGGACAAUGGGCGAAAGCCUGAUCCAGCCAUGCCGCGUGUGUGAAGAAGGUCUUCGGAUUGUAAAGCACUUUAAGUUGGGAGGAAGGGCAUUAACCUAAUACGUGCUAACCCUGACGUUACCUACAGAAGAAGCACCGGCAAACUCCGUGCCAGCAGCCGCGGUAAUACGGAGGGUGCAAGCGUUAUUCGGAUUUACUGGGCGUAAAGCGCGCGUAGGUGGUUAGGUAAGUUGGAUGUGAAAGCCCCGGGCUUAACCUGGGAACUGCAUUCAAAACUGCCUAGCUAGAGUAUGGUAGAGGAGUGUGGAAUUUCAGGUGUAGCGGUGAAAUGCGUAGAUAUCUGAAGGAACACCAGUGGCGAAGGGCGGCUCUCUGGACCAAUACUGACGCUGAGGUGCGAAAGCGUGGGUAGCAAACGGGAUUAGAUACCCCGGUAGUCCACGCCGUAAACGAUGUCUACUAGCCGUUGGGUUCCUUGAGGACUUAGUGGCGCAGCUAACGCAUUAAGUAGACCGCCUGGGGAGUACGGCCGCAAGGCUAAAACUCAAAUGAAUUGACGGGGGCCCGCACAAGCGGUGGAGCAUGUGGUUUAAUUCGAUACAACGCGAAGAACCUUACCAGGUCUUGACAUCCUACUAAGUUUCCAGAGAUGGAUUCGUGCCUUCGGGAGCGUAGAGACAGGUGCUGCAUGGCUGUCGUCAGCUCGUGUUGUGAAAUGGUGGGUUAAGUCCCGUAACGAGCGCAACCCUUAUCCUUAUUUGCCAGCACGUAAUGGUGGGAACUCUAAGGAGACUGUCGGUGACAAACCGGAGGAAGGUGGGGACGACGUCAAGUCAUCAUGGCCCUUACGAGUUGGGCUACACACGUGCUACAAUGGCCGGUACAGAGGGCUGCAAACCCGCGAGGGGGAGCCAAUCUCACAAAACCGGUCGUAGUCCGGAUCGGAGUCUGCAACUCGA
rnacentral:rRNA from 1 species